UACGUAGGGGGCAAGCGUUGUCCGGAUUUAUUGGGCGUAAAGAGCGUGUAGGCGGCCAUACAGGUCAGCUGUGAAAACUCGAGGCUCAACCUCGAGACGUCGGUUGAAGCCGUAUGGCUAGAGUCCGGAAGAGGAGAGUGGAAUUCCCGGUGUAGCGGUGAAAUGCGCAGAUAUCGGGAAGAACACCCGUGGCGAAGGCGGCUCUCUGGGACGGUACUGACGCUGAGACGCGAAAAGCGUGGGGAGCGAACAGG
rnacentral:rRNA from 1 species